rnacentral:rRNA from 1 species
GGAAGGAUCAUUACCGAAUCCAAACCUUUUAUCACACCGUGAACUUGGUCGCGCACUGUGCGUUCGUCUCCUUACCAGUCGGGGUUGGUUCUCCAUUAAAUUUGCAAGCGAAGUCCGCCUGUCGGGCUGAGCGCGCGAGCCCCGAUUGGAGACGGCGUGCGUGCGUGGUUUUCACUUUCUUUAACCAAGCAAACUUGCAGACUGAACUGUUGGGCUUUUUCGAAAGCUUGUCUUUUGAUCUAAUCGAGGACAACUUUCAACGGUGGAUCUCUUGGCUCGUGGAUCGAUGAAGAACGCAGCAAAACGCGAUAUGUAGUGUGAAUUGCAGAAUUCAGUGAAUCAUCGAAUUUUUGAACGCAAAUGGCGCUCCUGGGUAUUCCUAGGAGCAUGUCUGUCUCAGUGUCGAACUCACCUCGAACGCGCUUCGGCGCGGUGGUCUUGAGGCGUCUGAGAGUCUCGCUAGAGUUCUUUCAGUCCCUUGAAAUGCAGUGGCCAGACGUUGUGCUGCAGCAUGGCCUCGGGUCGGUUUGCCCUGGUUUUGCUCGCACGGCUGAUUCUCUCUGUCGUGUCGCAGCUUCCUUGGCGCACCAGACUUUCAUGCCAGCACACGUCUGAAACAAGCCAGCUCUGGAAACAAACGUUGAAGAGUUCACUCUCUUCUCCAUCCUCGACCUGAGAUCAGGCAAGACUACCCGCUGAAUUUAAGCAUAUUAAUAAGCGGAGG